rnacentral:tRNA from 1 species
UCCCUGGUGGCUCAGAUGGUAAAGAAUCUGCCUGCAAUGCAGGAGAUCUGGGUUCAAUCCCUGGAUUGGGAA